rnacentral:rRNA from 1 species
AGAGUUUGAUCCUGGCUCAGAUUGAACGCUGGCGGCAGGCCUAACACAUGCAAGUCGAGCGGGGGUAGCAAUACCCUAGCGGCGAACGGGUGAGGAAUGCUUGGGAAUCUGCCUCGUAGUGGGGGAUAACGUUCCGAAAGGAACGCUAAUACCGCAUACGUCCUACGGGAGAAAGGGGGGGAUCUUCGGACCUCUCGCUAUGAGAUGAGCCCAAGCGGGAUUAGCUAGUUGGUGAGGUAAAGGCUCACCAAGGCUACGAUCCCUAGCUGGUCUGAGAGGAUGAUCAGCCACACUGGAACUGAGACACGGUCCAGACUCCUACGGGAGGCAGCAGCUAAGAAUAUUCCGCAAUGGACGAAAGUCUGACGGAGCGACGCCGCGUGGAUGAUGAAGGCCGGAAGGUUGUAAAAUCCUUUUGUCGGGGAAGAAUAAGCAUGGGAGGGAAUGCCCGUGUGAUGACAUGAACCGGCGAAUAAGCCCCGGCUAACUACGUGCCAGCAGCCGCGGUAA